UACGUAGGGUGCAAGCGUUGUCCGGAAUUACUGGGCGUAAAGCGCACGUAGGCGGCUUUGUAAGUUAGAGGUGAAAGCCCGGGGCUCAACUCCGGAACUGCCUUUAAGACUGCAUCGCUUGAAUCCAGGAGAGGUGAGUGGAAUUCCGAGUGUAGAGGUGAAAUUCGUAGAUAUUCGGAAGAACACCAGUGGCGAAGGCGGCUCACUGGACUGGUAUUGACGCUGAGGUGCGAAAGCGUGGGGAGCAAACAGG
rnacentral:rRNA from 1 species